UGAUGCUGGAGAAGAGAAUAAGAAACAGUUGAUGAAGAUUUGUGUGUAGCAAACGAAGAAGUGUGAGAAAAUCCCCAGAACUGUGAGAAGCUACUGGAAUAAUAUAAGGAUGGAUCUAAUCUGGUUGAAUUCUGACUGCCACAUUACUGGGGAUUGAACUCAAGGCCUCCUGUAUGCUAGCUAGUCUCUACUUCUCAAGUACACCCCCAGCCCUCAUUACAUUCUUAAAAAUGUUCAUAGCAUCUUGCAAGAGGAGUCUUUUUACCACUUGGGACCUCAGUCAAGAAAUGUACUUAUUAUGUGAUAUGAAUGAUUUUUAAUUGAUUUAUAAGCAUUACCAAUACAUUACCAAUUUUAUGCUAUUGUCAGUUACUUGUGAAUAGUUUCUCUGCAGGGUCUCCAGCCGUGGGGAACAUGCUGAUCCACUGGACCCCUGCCACGACCACCACCUCUGGCCUCUUGGCUGUACUGCCCCCUGGUUCCACACUACAAAGACACAGAGGACAUUGGACCAGCAGACCACUGUACUGGGUAAGUUGGAAUGAUCAUCACUGCCCAUCUGAACUGGGACUAUCUUCAGGGGAAGGGCAAGUGGAACCUGCAGUACAACCCUCCAGAGUUCAACCCUACAAGAGGACAAGGAGCUCAACUUGGGACUUGCAGCCAGAAAUCUGCCUGAAUCUCACAGGUCUGUGACUGGCGUGCUGAGACUCAUUGACUUAUAUGUGCACACUGCUACCCACGUUGUCUAUUGUGACAACAGAGACAUACC
rnacentral:lncRNA from 1 species